GGAGAGAUGGCCGAGCGGUCUAAGGCGGUGGUCUUGAAAACCGCUGAGGCGCAAGCCUCCGGGGGUUCGAAUCCCUCUCUCUCCGCCA
rnacentral:tRNA from 1 species